AGCCGUGCGACGAGCACAGAGCGAACUAUUCUUUCCCCUUUUACUAAAAAGAAUACCGUGUGCUCGUCGCAGAUAGCGGCAUACGCCAAUUUUUGAAGGGGUGUACCACUGAGGACGCU